CGCAUUGUGGCCUCGCAUGGUUCCCCGUGAUGCGCAAAGCGCUUCGGGGAAAAAUGGGAAUUCGGUAGGCGUGACCCAAAUAGGGGCGCAAAUCCGGAGCCGCCCCCGCGACUGUAUGCGGAGAGCGUCUUGCCAAAUGCCACUGGAGCGAUCCGGGAAGGCGGCAAAACGCAUCGACCCGCAAGCCAGGAGACCAGCCAUGCGCAAUGAAACCCC
rnacentral:ncRNA from 2 species